rnacentral:rRNA from 1 species
CCUACGGGAGGCAGCAGUGGGGAAUAUUGCACAAUGGGGGAAACCCUGAUGCAGCGACGCCGCGUGAGUGAAGAAGUAUUUCGGUAUGUAAAGCUCUAUCAGCAGGGAAGAAGCAAGACGGUACCUGACUAAGAAGCCUCGGCUAACUACGUGCCAGCAGCCGCGGUAAUAUGUAGGGGGCAAGCGUUAAUCGUAUUUACUGGGGGUAAAGGGAUCGGAGGCGGUAUGGCAAGUCAGGAGUGAAAGCCCAGGGCUUAACCCGGGGACUGCUUUGGAAACUGUUAGACUAGAGUGCUGGAGAGGUAAGUGGAAUUCCAGGUGUAGCGGUGAAAUGCGUAGAUAUUAGGAGGAACACCAGUGGCGAAGGCGGCUUACUGGACAGUAACUGACGUUGAGGAUCGAAAGCGUGGGGAGCAAACAGGAUUAGAUACCCUAGUAGUC